UACAGAGGGUGCAAGCGUUAAUCGGAAUUACUGGGCGUAAAGCGUGCGUAGACGGUUACAUAAGUCGGGUGUGAAAGCCCCGGGCUCAACCUGGGAAUUGCAUUCGAGACUGCGUAGCUAGGGUGCGGAAGAGGGAAGCGGAAUUUCCGGUGUAGCGGUGAAAUGCGUAGAUAUCGGGAAGAACACCGGUGGCGAAGGCGGCUCGCUGGGCCAAUGCUGACGCUGAGGCGCGAAAGCGUGGGGAGCAAACAGG
rnacentral:rRNA from 1 species